rnacentral:rRNA from 1 species
ACGAAUGCUGGCGGCGUGCUUAACACAUGCAAGUCGCACGGAAAGGCCCUGCUUGCAGGGUACUCGAGUGGCGAACGGGUGAGUAACACGUGGGUGAUCUGCCCUGCACUUCGGGAUAAGCCUGGGAAACUGGGUCUAAUACCGGAUAGGAGCCAUUUUUAGUGUGAUGGUUGGAAAGUUUUUUCGGUGUAGGAUGAGCUCGCGGCCUAUCAGCUUGUUGGUGGGGUAAUGGCCUACCAAGGCGGCGACGGGUAGCCGGCCUGAGAGGGUGGACGGCCACAUUGGGACUGAGAUACGGCCCAGACUCCUACGGGAGGCAGCAGUGGGGAAUAUUGCACAAUGGGCGCAAGCCUGAUGCAGCGACGCCGCGUGGGGGAUGACGGCCUUCGGGUUGUAAACUCCUUUCGCUAGGGACGAAGCUUUUGUGACGGUACCUAGAUAAGAAGCACCGGCUAACUACGU